UUAAUCUGAAUCACAAACUUUAAUUUUGUUGUAAAUGGAAGAUUAGCUGCAAUAAAAAAGCUAAAGAGAGAAGUGCCUUGAACUCUGAAAAUUCCAGAACUUCCUAUUAAUAGAUCUGUGCUUAGAAUAACAUGAAACAUCUAAUUUCUCCAAGCACUGACUCAUGUGCAUUGCCAUUAGUGCUUGGCUGUCUGCAGUCACACAGCCCCAUCUGACUGCAUCCCUCCUGUGCUGGCUCUGGGGUCAUGGUGCAGCACGAACCUCCAUGGGUUCUGUAGCAUCUCAGCUGUGCAGAUUCAUCACUGGCCUGGUGAUUUUAUAAAACAUUUGUGUUCUCCAUACUUUAUUAGUCCCUGACAGACUCAAUGUUUAUAACAUACUUCUCAGCAAGCUGUUUGCAACUCAUUGCCCUGCUUGCUUUAUAGUCCAUAAAUAUUUAAUUCUUUAAUAAACUGCUUAUAUGUAAUAUCAAAUGACGGAUGUACUUCUCUCCCCUCUUCAGCAGUGCUACUAUUUGCAAAACAAUUCUUUUGGUGUUUUGAAUAGCAAUAUAUUCUAUACAUGCUUGAAUUUCCUUUUCCUAACUAGCAAUUUCUCCAGGGUAUUUGGUGAAUUGACAAACAACACAAUGGCUCCUACAGUGCUCUGGGAGCUGCCCUUUCCUCAAGUUUCCAUGGGGAGACUUCCAAAUGGUCAAUUGACCAUUCCAAAUGUCUGCAAUCUGGGUGUCUUGGACCCUGGGGGUGAUAUUUCUGGCAGUAUUUCCCACCUGUGCAUGUAGGAAGUGGCAUGUUGAGCAUGCUGGGCACUGUGCAGAGCAGGGUGCUCCAUGGGGGGAGCAGCCAGCACCAUGCCCCACUUCUUCUGCCUCACCCACUAUGCUCCAUGCUCAUUUUCCCAGCACAGGGUACAGUCUUCUUCCUGCUCCUUUUUGGUAGCACUUGUGCAACGAGCGACUUCAAGUGGGUUUGGUCCCACCCUUCCUUCCACCUUCUCUGGGGGUUUCUCUACCUGAGGAGCAGGCAGCAGGCUGCUGGACUCCCCUGUCCAGUCCCCAGCCUUUGGGCUCCUCUUGGAGUGCCAGAUCCUGUCCGACAGGAGCAGGAACCUUGAGGACUGCAGGAGAAGAGUCAGCCAAGUGAGGCCAUGGCUAGUGCUAUCGAUCUGCCCUGCAGCCUGCUCCAUGUCUGGGUCAAAAAACCCUCUGAGGCUGUCAGCCAGCCACUGUUAGGGUGAUGGGCUGCACCUGGCAACACCAGGCUCUAUGGAUAGAGUGGACAGGGCUGUGGAGCUGGCAGGAAGGGCUGUCCAUCAGCACAAACACGGGAAGGGAUCGUGACUUUGCACCACCACGUUUGUGCCUCCCAGCCUGUCCGUGAGUCCUUGUCUUACCCUGCAUUUUGGGGCAGGUUUCUGCUCAGGCUUUGCCCUUUAGUCUCUUCCCUAAGGCUUAUGGCAUGCCAAGGCACCAUUAAGGAUUGGGCAUCCUGUCCUGCAGAAACCAGGUGGGGAAGGGAUCAGAUUUUGGAAUGAUGACAAGGGCAUGGAGGGGGCAUGGCCUUUCUGUAGAGUUGCUUUCUGUUGGUUUUGGUUGUUCCAUAUUCCCAGGCUCUCUUUGGUCUGGACACCUUGGUACUGAGCUGCGUUGAGGCUGUAGACCAGAAGGACAAGGCAGAGCCAGGUGGCACCAUCGGGGCUGGCUCUCUGCAGUGUCCAGACCAGCAGUGUCACAGUGCUGGGGUCAGGAAGACAUUGGCUGGGCAGUCAAUGGGGUGGAACUAGAUUUUUAUUAUGGACCCUUCUGUCCCAAACCAUUCUGUGGCAUGAUUCUAUGAUCUGCUCAGAUCAUUCUGUCCAUAAUCAUGGCUGCUCUGUUCCUCACAGACAGCUCUGGGCUGCUCACUUGGGUCUGGGCUGGUUUGACUGCAGAUUCCUUCUCACCAGGGCAGCAACAAGCAUUAGCUGAGCCCCUGAGAGGCUGCGUGGGCAUGGGCAGGCCAUUCACACACAGCUGCUGGGCCAGGUUGCCACUGAGUUAUCCUUGAUGUCUGGAAUUUUUGCAGGUAGUUUGUAGUGGCAAGCUGAGGUUUGGAAUUGCUGCCCAGAGGCCGUCCUGGUGUCCUGGUUUUGAUCAGACCUGGCAGCCUGUUGCCUUUUCUCAGUCUCCUGGGUGCCCUUGCAGAAGAGGGAGUGCAGAAGGGACACAUCUGUUGAGAUGUGGGAAGGGAAUGGAAUGGAGAGAGGUGACAGCUGGAUGGACCUGUGGUCAGGAGUCUGAACAGCACAGGGCAGCAGCUGCUGUCCUGUCUGCAGCACCCUCGGCACACUGGUCCUUAGACACAGACUAGAUGUAACCCUCCUGUCUGGGGUCUCAGUGCUCCUUUGAGGCUGGCCUGCCCCAGGCCCCUGGUUACCUGGGCAGCCCCUCACACCACUGCUGUGCCUGUGACAAGAGGCACACCCUUAGGGACUGUGGGGCCACCCUGCUCUGGCCCCCAGGGGACUGCUCAGGAGCCUUUCUGGAGCCACAGGCAUGGUCUGUGCACGCCCAGAGCACGGGGGCAGAGGAGGAUUCUCUUACAGUGGGUCCCAUCUGCAGCUUUUUGAGAGCAGAGGAAAACAGCACUCGCUCCCUGGCACCACGUCUUUCUGCAGCCCAAGACCUGCCCUCCACCAAGGGUGCAAGGAGGCUGUAGAGCUCCAGGAUCAGUGCAGGGCAAACAUAGGAGGCGCAGAUGCCUGAGCUGAUGUCACACAGCUGAUGUCAUAGCUGAUGAGCUGCUGACUGCUGGCUCACUCUGCCUCUCUUUGUUCACUCCUUGCUGACGGAUAUGGGUGCAGGUCCCAAUCCAGAAAAGCAGCUGAACAGGGCAACCAAGGGGUCCUGUUCCCCACACGUUUUUGUUCUCAUUACAUCCAGGUACCAUUCACUGCUGUGAGGAAAACGGGUGAGGGUGGAUCUGACCAGCUCUGGACUCCCUGUCCCCAGCAGGCUUCCCGGUGGCACAGUGGCCACAGCUGCUCUGCCCCAAGACCCCGUGUCCCACUGACCUGUGGUGGGGACCCAGCAGCCACCGUGUCAGCCCUCUGUCCCUUGGGAAGCGUGCAUGCCAGCCUGGCAUCAGCCAGCACAGGGAUGGCCUCUUGUCUCUCCAUCGUUGAGCUGUCAUCAGGCCCCUCCUUUGUCACUGAGCUGCAGCACUUAAAGCUUCUCCCUCUGGUUCCUUUUCUCCUGUCCCCCUUCCACAGCACACUUCUUGGUGUUUCUGAAUAACUAGGAAUCAUCCAGGCAGCUCCCAGCACUCCAGGUCUCCAGCAGCGAGCACGCCAGGUGCCCUGGCUGAGGGAUGAGUGAUGAUAAAUAAGCAAAUCACAUGGCGGGCUGAACGAUUUCCCCAAAUGAGCCUGUUUGUCCCAGGCACAGUGCAAAACCCUCUUCUCCUUGGCGAUAACCUUUCUGUGCGCUCACAUUAUGCAUGUAUUCAUGUGACUUCCUCUGCCUCACUGCCACCUCUUGAUUUAAAUAAAAAUAAUUUAUGUGGACAUUCCUUCAGUUAGGAUUUCCCCCCCAAUAAUAUUUCGUUGAUGCUCUGAACCCAAAUGGGGUCGUUAUGCUUUUGCAUAUCAUUAGGGCUUUAUGAAGAACAACAGCGACAUCUGCAUGUGCCGCAGUGCCACAGAGAUGGGGGAAAAUACAGAAAACAAACCCCAAAUGAGCUCCAAGCUCAUCUGGCUCUGUCUUUCCACAGUGCUUUUGCCUCUAUCACGGACACAAGUAAUUGUACAGUGUAAUCACAUCACAGCUCAUCUGAAUAUUCAUAACCGACACAAAGACUGGAGGAGAAGAGAAGUGGGGAGGAAAAAGGAAGGUAAUUUAAAUAUAAAACAGCAUUUCAUUUGGAAGCAAAGUUCCCCGUCCAGCUCAAGAGAUUGUCUUGGUAGUGAUUCUGUCUGUCCAUCUCCUGUACAGAAGCGCGGGCAGUGGGAGCAGCCGCAGCCCCCGCUGUGGAGAGAGAAAAUAAAGCACAACAACAAACAGCGGCAGGACUGCCCCCAGCCAAAGGGAUGUUUGAAGAGUCGCCAACGGUGGCUAACCAGCUGCUGGUCUCCAGGAAAGAAAUAGUCUAUUGAGGGAGCUUUAUAAAGACCCCAAUUAAUAUGUUGUGCAUGUAUAAGAUCUACAAAGAGCCCACUGUAUUCCUCCCCCCGCAGCCACCACCUUCUCUUCCUGAUCAAUGCCAGUGGAGAAGGAUCUGUGCUACCAAAUAAUUGAUUAAUCUCUUCAGUGGUGAAAACGCCCCUCUCCAAAACAGAGAAGAAAAACAAACACAAAAAGAGGCAACAGUUCGCUAAAUAGCAUGUAAAUUACCGCUGGUUCCAUCCUGCUUUGUGCCUUUAAAAAUGAAAAGAAAAGGGAAAGAGUAAAUAUAAUCCCCAUCUUAAUGUAUAUGCUGUCUUCAUUUCUUUUGUAUUACUUUGGUAUCCUUCACCAGUAUGAACACAGCAGUGUGAUGUUGAAGCUGUGGCUGGCUCUGCUAGUUCGUUCCCCAAAGAGCUCCUAUUUCCAUUCCACUGGAGCUUAUAUUCCUUUAAAUGUCUAGCGCAGCAUCAUUUCUCCCUUUCUAAUACAUCACUCUGCUGGAAUUAGAAGAAUCCAAGGUUAUAUCCAACUUCAAAGGUUUCCAAGUCAUCAUGAUUUUAGUAAAAGUAGAAGACAGAUCAUGGAACAAGUCCCUGGCUUUUGAAGAUAGGCAUCACAGGGACCUUCCUCCCUCUGUCUCGUUCUCGCUCUCCCACUCUCUCCCCCCAACUUUGUACCUCUCCAGCUCUGAAUGUCCCGCGCUAGCGUGGUUUAAUGAUAUGCAAAUGAAAUAUGCAUAAAACCAUUCUACUGUAUGAUGAUUAAACACUGGAGACAUUAGCCGCCGACGCUUCACUGUUUGACUAUAAUAAUCUUCCCCGAGCAUCCACUUUGAUUGCGGAGUUAUGGAAACCCAUAGCAGUUGGCAGAGAGGGAGCAAGAGGGAGUGAAGGAAGGAGAGGUGCAGGGAUGUAUCACCCAUCUCUGCAUUUAUCCCACACCAGGAGACAUUUCCCCUCUUUGUACUGCAUUCCUACUGCUGUCUUUUGUAAUCCAUCCAUGCGGUCGCACCAGGGCAAUUAACGGGAAAAAAACCUCUUUUCUCUUAAUGUUUCAAAGCUCAUUAGCCAAACGAUUAUUCCUCAUUAACAGCGAAAGCUCAUUCAUUAAAAGAAAAAAUAUGCCCAAAAGAUGCCAGCACUGUUAAUCCUGAGCCCUGUAGCUGGGCUGUAGAUCCCAUGCUAGUAUUUUCCAUGCAGAAGGGAAGUGCACCAAUCCACAAAAAAAUACCAAAAACCACCAGGCAAAAAGAAAACAUUUCGUGAGUUUUGUAAAAUCCGCAAGAGAGGCAAUUAAUAUUCCCAUUGUAUGACUUUAUUUUUUGUCUCUCCCUUUUGUCUCCAGUGCCCUUCCCUGGCUCAGCGCCCAGUGCCAACAGAACACCUUGCAGGAUCCUCAGCAGCGCAGACACCGUAAGUAGCCAGCUGUCCCUUGACGCCCUUGUCCAGAAGCCCCCGCGCCCUGCGGACCCCGCGCAGCGCCCGCACGGCUCCUUCCCUCGCUCGCCCUCCGAGUGCCACCUGGGUUUCACAAGUAGCACCUUCCAAAUCUCUCUGUCUUCAAGUUUGUGCAUGUCUGUGUGGCAUCCCUCCUCCUCCUUCACUCCCAUAGUGGAUCUCGUGAAGGGCUUCAGAUCGGCCCCAUUCAUCUCCCUGGUGAUAGCAGUGAAUGUAGAUAAAUCUCUGCUGCCUGCUUGCUGCUCCAGUAUGAUUUUUAUUUUGUGUUCCGUGUACACCUAGGUCAAAAAGUGGGAUGUAUACUGACGGUGGGUGAGUGUGUGUGUGUGUGUGUCUCUUCCUCACUCCCUGUCGCUCUCUCGCACUGAGGCACACAGACAUACAUCUCCCUGCGUGUGUUACACGCGUGCACAUGAACAAAUACCCCCACACGGCCGCGCGCGUGUGUACACCGAGGCACACACACAUCUCCUCACCCACUCACACAGCUCCUCUGCACCAACCCGAGCGGUGUGUGCCUGUGUGUCUGUGUGUCUGUACGCACUGUUCCAUGUGCGUGUGCAUACACAGGCACCUCGCUACACCGUCAAACAUUCCCUCUCCUCCCAGCAGAGGCUGUGUGCAGCCUGAUCCUGCCCUGUAAGAGCGGUAUUCCUUCCUCCCUUCCUUCCCUCGGCUCCUCGGAGACCUUCGCAUUCCCUCCUCGGGUCCCUCCUGAGCUGCAGAUUUGGCACCUUUCCCUGAGGUUGUCCAAAUGGCAAAUGGCAUCGGCCGGAGUUCGCAUUCUUGAGCUUCUCUGGGCAUUUCUCCCUCCAUGUCGACUACUCCCUUUUGUUUGUUGUUGACUGGGCUGGGUGUGGUUGGGUUUUUUUUGGCAUUAAUUGUAAACGAACCUGAAUGGCAAAACACGCCAACAGCUUGCGGGGAAAAAAAAAAAGCCAAAAAAAAAAAGAGCAAGCCCCACACAAACGCCUUCUGCUGCGACAGAUGCCCAUGUUGCCCCUGGCAUGGAGAGCGGGCACAAGGGGUUUGUUGAUGAGGUUUUUUCGAUUGCUGUGUUUAUUGUUCGCAUUUCCCUUUUCCAUUUAUUUUUAAAGACUCCAAGAUGCCGGCCUCGGCUUGGAACGGAGCGGUGUCAUGGCGGAGACGACGGCCUUUGUCUCGCAGGGUGUGAAAGCAUCCGUUGUGCUGGCUCCACUGCGGCAGAAUGAUGUCUAAAGGGGGGAAAAGUGCUGGAAGUCCGAGGUGUGCGGCGCUGGCGGGGGAGCCCCAUCCCCAUGGCGUGCGUCCGACGCAGGGCUCGCGGCGGAGGAGCCUGCUGGAUGCUCAAGAGCAGAGGAUCUAUCAACUGCAGACCAAGCAGAGGGAGAGGCAGGCAGACCUGGAGCAGAAAUGCAGCCAGAGCAGCAGCUCAGCCAGGACCUGGGGGCCAGCCACCAGCUACGGAAGGGAGCUUGGAACAGCUUGUUCCAGGAGAAGACAGUGCAAUUUGGUGAUUGAUUCCUGGAGUCUGGUUGGUGCAUCCAUGCUGGGGUAUAGAGGCCACAUAUCCCACGGUGCUUCCGGGAACACUCCAGCCUCAGCCACCCACAGCUCAUAGGCUCCGGAAGCAGAAAUGGGAUCUUGCAUUCCAUCAAUCACAGCCCCAAGCCUAAUUCCUGAGGAGGAACAGAGCUACAGCAGCUGAGACUGCAGUGAGAUCUUGUGAGAAAGAUGGUGCAAAUGCUCCAGAUCUUCAGCAAGAUUAGGACCACCUGGCUGUGUCAUACCUUGGAGACUGGGGACAGCUGCUAAACAGCUGAAAAAAAGGAGAAAUUAUAUAAGGUCAGCAGACCGGGCCUCCUCCAGACAGAUCUACCCUCCGAGUGUUUGCCCAGCUGAGGGGCUGAGUAAUGCUGUGGAAUGCUGAUGUAGCCAGAUGAAUCAGUGCUGGCGUGAACUCCUAUCCAAGAGCACAAAUAGCAUCAUGUUCUUGUGAUCCUUUGCAUUUCCUUCCUGCAGAUUCCCGGGUGAGCAGGAAGGGAUUGGGCUGCCUGACCUCUGGUACCUACAGUCAUGGAAAAUCUCCCCGUUACUCUGAAAUCAGUAACUUGUCUGACUAAGAUAGCUUCAGACAAGGCGUUUGGCUGGGCUUGAAGACAUCCAGAGAUGGCAAAUGCACGACAUCCUCCCCUGGCAGUCAGUCCUUUCACAUCACUCCUACUGUUUUGGGUUUUUUCCUUCUCUCAUGACUGCUAUGCCAACA